UCCGCGGGUCUCUUCCCAGCGCCCAUCAGAGCUCCGCCACCGGGAGCCGCCGGGCCCGGCGGCUGCUGCGGAAGGAGCAAGAUCAGCGCGGGGUCCCUGACCGGAGCGGGCCCCGGCCCAGACCCCCCCCCGCCGCCUCCCGGCGGAGGCGCCACGCACCUGCGGGAAGGUGAACGGCACCUGCUGAUCCAGGAUCUACAGUAAGCUCGGAAGAAACCUCCCUCUGCAAAUUGCUACCAUCAACAAGGCACCUGUCCUCUUGGACUGUCAAUGCAAAAGCCAUCUCUUCUGAAACUGGUUUUGUCUUCAAGUGAUUUCAAUAUAUUUUUCUUUACUGGCCCAAUCUCUGAAGAGAAGGCUCUGGGUACCUAGAUUUUUCUAAAGAACUCAAGGAAAAUUCUUAAGAGGAGAGAAAAGUCUUAUGUUCCACUUAGAAUAAAC